rnacentral:rRNA from 1 species
GGAUUAGGCAUGCAAGUCGAACGAAUCCCAGAGGGCUUGCUUUCUGGGGGAAGUGGCGAAAGGGGCAGUAAGGCGUGGGUAACCUACCUUGGGGUCUGGCAUAGCCGUCCUAACGGACGGGUAAUUCCAGAUGAUGUGGCAACACCAAAGGUUUACCGCCCUGUGAGGGGCCCACGUGGUAUUAGCUUGUUGGUGAGGUAACGGCUCACCAAGGCGAAGAUGCCUAGCGGGUGUGAGAGCACGACCCGCGCCUCUGGCACUGAGACACUGGCCAGACUCCUACGGGAGGCUGCAGUCGAGGAUCUUCGGCAAUGGGCGCAAGCCUGACCGAGCGACGCCGCGUGUGCGAUGAAGGCCUUCGGGUUGUAAAGCACUGUCGAGGGGGAGGAAAGCCCGCAAGGGUCUGACUAAUCCCUGGAGGAAGCACGGGCUAAGUUCGUGCCAGCAGCCGCGGUAAGACGAACCGUGCGAACGUUGUUCGGAUUCACUGGGCUUAAAGGGCGCGUAGGCGGGCUCGCCAGUCAGGGGUGAAAUCCUCCGGCUCAACCGGAGAACAGCCUUUGAUACUGCGAGCCUCGAGGAAGGUAGGGGCAUGUGGAACUUCCGGUGGAGCGGUGAAAUGCGUAGAUAUCGGAAGGAACGCCGGUGGCGAAAGCGACGUGCUGGACCUUUUCUGACGC